GCAAUACACGAAAGUGUGACAAGGCUAUCCCGAGUGCCAUCCGCUGAGGAAGGCUUUUACCCAGUAUAAAUAGCUGGGAGAAUAAGGAGAGGGCAAGUCUGGUGUCAGCCGCCGCGGUAAUACCAGCUCUCCGAGUAGUGUGGAUGUUUAUUGGGCCUAAAGCAUCCGUAGCUUGCUAAACAAGUCCCCUGUUAAAUCCACCGAUUCAAUCGUUGGAUUGCGGGGGAUACUGUUUGGCUAGGGGACGGGAGAGGCCGACGGUAUUUCCGGGGUAGGGGUGAAAUCCUAUAAUCCCGGGAGGACCACCAGUGGCGAAGGCUGUCGGCUAGAACGCGCCCGACGGUGAGGGAUGAAAGCUGGGGGAGCGAACCGGAUUAGAUACCCGGGUAGUCCCAGCUGUAAACGAUGCAGGCUAGGUGUUUGGGCGGCCACGAGCCGCCCUAGUGCCGCAGGGAAGCUGUUAAGCCUGCCGCCUGGGGAGUACGGCCGCAAGGCUGAAACUUAA
rnacentral:rRNA from 1 species